AUACGUAGGGAGCGAGCGUUGUCCGGAAUUACUGGGUGUAAAGGGAGCGUAGGCGGGAGUGCAAGUCAGAUGUGAAAUACAUGGGCUCAACCCAUGGGCUGCAUUUGAAACUGCAUUUCUUGAGUGAAGUAGAGGUAAGCGGAAUUCCUGGUGUAGCGGUGAAAUGCGUAGAUAUCAGGAGGAACACCGGUGGCGAAGGCGGCUUACUGGGCUUUUACUGACGCUGAGGCUCGAAAGCGUGGGGAGCAAACAGGAUUAGAUACCCUGGUAGUCCACGCUGUAAACGAUGAUUACUAGGUGUGGGGGGACUGACCCCUUCCGUGCCGCAGUUAACACAAUAAGUAAUCCACCUGGGGAGUACGGCCGCAAGACUGAAACUCAAAUGAAUUGACGGGG
rnacentral:rRNA from 1 species